UUCCAUGUCUGGUUACUGGAGGUGUUCGGGAGAUGCCUCUGUUAUGGGUUGUUUGCCUUUCUUCGGGGAGAAGGGAUGAACUCUUUGACUUCCCAUGACGGAGAAACCUACUCUUCAUUUUUUGUAUUCGUGGAAGGGAGUUUUGCUUACAUGUUUACCAGCAUCUAGGACAAGAAAGAGAAAAGAAAUGAGCCGCCAGACUGCUACAGCCCUCCCUACUGGUACUUCCAAGUGUACACCAUCUCAGAGGGUGCCUGCAUUGACUGGCACAACAGCAUCGAACAAUGACUUGGCUAGUCUAUUUGAGUGUCCCGUCUGCUUUGACUAUGUGUUACCCCCUAUUCUUCAAUGUCAGAGCGGCCAUCUUGUUUGUAGCAACUGUCGUCCAAAGCUCACAUGUUGUCCAACUUGCCGAGGCCCGUUGGGGUCCAUUCGCAACUUGGCUAUGGAGAAAGUGGCCAAUUCAGUACUAUUUCCUUGUAAAUAUGCCUCUUCUGGAUGUGAGAUAACUUUGCCACACACAGAAAAAGCAGACCAUGAAGAGCUGUGUGAGUUUAGGCCUUAUUCGUGUCCAUGUCCCGGUGCUUCGUGUAAAUGGCAAGGCUCUUUGGAUGCUGUAAUGCCACAUUUGAUGCAUCAACAUAAGUCUAUUACAACACUACAGGGAGAAGAUAUAGUUUUUCUUGCUACAGACAUUAAUCUUCCUGGUGCUGUUGACUGGGUUAUGAUGCAGUCUUGUUUUGGCUUUCACUUCAUGUUAGUCUUAGAGAAACAGGAAAAAUAUGAUGGUCACCAGCAGUUCUUCGCAAUUGUACAGCUGAUAGGAACACGCAAACAAGCAGAAAAUUUUGCUUAUCGACUUGAGCUAAAUGGUCAUAGACGGCGAUUGACUUGGGAAGCGACUCCUCGAUCUAUUCAUGAGGGAAUUGCAACAGCUAUUAUGAAUAGCGACUGUCUAGUUUUUGACACCAGCAUUGCACAGCUUUUUGCAGAAAAUGGCAAUUUAGGCAUCAAUGUAACUAUUUCCAUGUGUUGAAAGGGCAAUCAAAUGUUUUCAGGCCAGUGUUUAAAAUCUUUGCAUCAUUUAUUUUCACAGAAGAUAAGGUAACCAUCUUUGACUGCCAAAUAUAAACUCUUUUGGUAGGUGGAAACUAGACAUAUGAAGUGAGCCCUGAGUUGGUGAAAAUUAGCUUGACAGCAGUGAGGAAAUAGAUUCUGGUAGAUCAUCACAAAGGAGGAAGUGACACAGCCAGCGGCAUCCAUGUCAGCUCUCUUCACUUGGAUUUCUUUCCUUGGAUAAAGUGCUUCUUAGGACUAAGAGAAGAACCUGUUAACUCCACUCUGUAUACUGACUUUGUCCUAAAAGAAAUGGGAUGAAGACCACCAAUUUGAGGAUCUAAGCCACUUAAUGACAGCAGCAGCUUCAUUACCCUAUAGACUUAAAUUUGUAACAGAUAAGUUAAAAAUUAUUUUAUUCAUCUUGGGAGUGUUGACUGUUUUCUUUUGCUUUCUGUGUAAGAAGGAACUUGCUUUUUUUUUUUUUUUUUUUUUUUUUUUUGGAUAUGAAAACAUUCAGGCUUUAAUGUGCUAAAAUCUCAUUUGCUGAGGAUGAAAUCUUGAUCAGCAUUUCAUUUUUGGUUAUGAAAUUCUGGCUUUAAAUCAGUUGCGUUGCUGUAGAAUCUUUGAAUUGAAUAAAAGUGAAGUAAUUCAAUUAAAUAACUUCUAGCAGUAGAAAGGAGAAUGAGGUUUGUUAGGUGUUUGAUACUUUAUGUAUGCAGUGUAACUCCAAUCGGUCUGGAUUUUUGCUCUAGUCAGCCUGUUUAGACAGUGGCAAUUCUUAAGAGACUGAAUGGCAUAACCUAUUUUGUUUAGAAGAAAUAUGGUAUUAGGUAACAGGUGAGUUGGUGAGAAUCUGAACAUUUUAAUGCUAGGAAUUUAUAAAAUCAUUUUUAUACAGAAAUAUAUAGACUUAGGUAUAUUUCAAUACUGUGAGCUUAUCCAAGGUCAUAUUAUUUAAUGUUAAGUCACUUGUCCCUGAGCUUAUAUCUGAUAUAGCAAAUAGGACUUGAACCUAGUUUUUUUUUUUUUUUUACUUCCUGGCCAGUUUUCUAUCCAGUACACCAGAAGCAUCAAAUUGAAAUAGAAAUAGAAGCCACCAAACUAUAUAUAAGGAUCCCUGCUGGCUGCUAUUGCCUUAGAAAAACACACAGUGUCAUCCAUAUUUUGUUGUAUUUUGUUGAAUGUUUUCAGAUUACAUUUUUUU